UGAGACUUGCGACAAGGUUGCUCUAACAAGUCUGAUGCAGUCAUGGUACAACAAGAAUACUUCAAAGUUGACGUCAGAAGGUUGUAACAAUAAUGUUAUUUCAUGACUGUAUCGGACUUGUUGGAACAACCUUGCAACAAGUCUCA